UAAAAGAAAGAAAGAAUGAAGAAGGCAGAAGAGGGAGGAGGAGCCGCCACCAGCAUUCCCCAACAGCAACUCCAAGCGACACCACGCAGUCGUCCACACGGCGGCGAGGGAGGAGCGGCACGUGCGAGAGGGAGGAGCAGCGGACACUUGGUUAAUGUCAUGAUGGGUGGAUGGUCCCUGCUCCUCGGCUCCUUGGCUAUACUAACAGGGACCCUAGCCGAGGACUCAAAAUGGGGGGGCCUUUACCCUCGGGAGUCGGGCAGUCGAGAGGUAAAAUCGCUGGACGGCCUCUGGAACUUCCGCCUGGCACCUCUCCAUGACCCCCUGAAGGGUUUUCGAGAGGAAUGGUUUUUAAGACCUCUCAGUAAGACUGGCUCGGUGAUAUCAAUGGCAGUUCCCAGUAGCUACAAUGACGUAACGCAAGACAAAGCUCUGCGAGACCAUAUUGGAUGGGCAUGGUACGAUCGCACUUUUUAUGUGCCCUUAAGAUGGCAAGUUGACAAGCAGAGGGUUGUUCUUCGUCUUGGGUCUGCCCAUUAUAAUUCAAUCAUUUACAUCAAUGGCGUAGCUGUGACGUCUCACGAAGGAGGACACCUUCCGAUAAUGGCCGAGAUAUCGAGUGGCCUUCGCUUCGGGAAGGAGAACCUGGUUACCGUAGCCAUCAACAACACUUUAACGCCCAGUACUUUGCCUCAGGGGAAGAUCAUCUACCACAACGACCCUACGAAGUAUCCUCCAGGCUACUUUGAGCAGAAAUUAGACUUUGACUUUUUCAACUAUGCAGGUCUUCAUCGGCCUGUUUACCUUUACACAACACCACAAACAUACAUUGAUGAUAUAGUGAUUAACACUGAUAUUGAUGGGUCUGCAGGUAUCAUUAAUUACGAGAUAUUUGCGGCCACCACUGAGAUUGGCCCUCAAAGCGAAGAUGGUGUGGGCUGUUCUGUUAAGCUCCUGGAUAAGGAGGGAGAUCACAUCACUAGUGCCAUGGGGUGUGUUGGCACUAUUAAGAUCAGCAAUGCCAGUCUUUGGUGGCCGUAUCUAAUGCAUAGUAACCCUGGCUAUAUGUAUACAUUGAUGGUAGCAGUUUCAGAUGCAUUUGGUGUGCUGGACCUCUAUCCCCAGAAAGUUGGCAUUCGCACUCUUGGAUGGAACUCCACAACGCUGACCAUCAACAAUCAGCCUCUAUAUUUGCGUGGCUGUGGACGGCAUGAAGAUGCUGAUAUCCGGGGCAAAGGUGUCGACUACCCACUGAUUGUGAAGGACUUCAGCCUCCUCAAGUGGCUGGGUGCAAACAGCUUCCGUACGUCUCACUACCCCUAUGCGGAGGAGAUCAUGGACAUGGCAGAUCAGGAGGGAAUCAUGAUAGUGGAUGAGAGUCCUGCAAUCGGUCUCAAUGGUUUUGGCGAGGAGCUGAUGAAGCGCCACAUUGCAGUCAUGCAGGAAUUUGUCCGCCGUGACAAGAAUCGACCGAGUGUCAUCAUGUGGAGUGUCGGCAAUGAGCCAAGAUCUUAUGAGCCUGCUGCAAAGGAGUAUUUCAGUGCUGUGGUUAAUGCUACUAAAGAAGCUGACCCAACACGCUCUGUCACUUGUGUCCUGGCAGUUGACAAACACACAGAUUUAGCUCAAUGUUGUGAAUGCCACCAAAGCAGUUGAUGCUACCCGUCCAGUUACAUGUGUUCUCAAUUAUCCUAAAAACGAGGAACAUGCUGGAAGCAGCCUAGAUGUAAUUUUGGUAAAUCGCUACUAUUCCUGGUACAGUGACACAGGGCACCUAGAGCUGAUUUAUAAUCAGACUGUGAAUGAGUUCAUUGAGUGGCAUCUCCUCCACAACAAGCCCGUUAUGAUCUCAG
rnacentral:misc_RNA from 1 species